CAUAACAAUCACAUUCUGUGAGGAAGUGGAGUCCAGGGCUGAGGAUGGAGGGUGAUUAGUCUUCUGUGCACACAUCAUUUCAACCUGCACUGGAGGCUGGGAGCAAUCAGGAGCUUGCGAGAGUGGGCCUGGGAUGUCAGAGCAGCCUCUCCCUGAGGGAAAGGCUCGGGCUGGGUUUCCUGUUGCAUGCCUGCCAUGCUGAAAAAGAUCGGCUAAGUGUUAUUGAUCCAGCUCCAGGGGGAGUAUUUGCUGGGAGGUCGCUGGCACCAGCCCAUCUCUGAGCUGGUGUUCAUUACUCAGUGGUGGGAUAGGGAACAGAGAAGGGCUGGCAUUCUGCCGCAGAGUUGAACUUGGCCUCGAAGGAGGAGAUUGUGAAGUGUGAGCUGGGACAGGCAGACACCUGGAUGACAAAGGGACAACAGCUCUCACCCUGGGUAGACGGGUGUCUGGUGCACGGAGUGCUCUCCCAGGCAGCUGCAGUCCUCCCAGCUCCUGCAGAUGCUCCUCUCCGCUACAGAACUGGAAAGCAGUUGUGGGGUUAUUCUCAACCUAGUCACCCCGAUGGCGUUCUUAGAGGCCUCAGCUUUCUCGAACAUUCCCUGAUGUAACAUGUCCUGCCCAUGUUUAAAGAUGCACUGAAAUGCGAUUAGGGUUUACAGCAAGGUCCUAGAGGGGAUCAGAACAGCUGCUAAGCAAGAUAUAAGCAGAGGGAGUUGUUAAAACAGAUUCCUGUACCAUGAGCGGAUUGAUGAAGAGGCUGGCAGAAGACAGCCUCCGGGAGACAUCACUCCUGAAGGACACAAAGAAACUCUAGGGGUGAACUUGGAGAUCACAGUGUCUUUUAACAGCCCGAAAACCUGAAAAGAAAGAUCCCGCGUCUAUCUGCAGCUUGUCAGCACAGAAAAGCUAAUUAUCUCAGUGCUCUCGCCACUACCCUGUAUCCAGCCAACUCUACCCUUCAGCUGUGGUCUAUUUGUCCUAUCGACACCCCCAAGUCUAAGGAGCAAAAUAUGAAGUGGUCUAAGAAGACAAUGGCUUUGAAUUCAGCUCACGUGAGAGCAUGGAAAGGAAUGUCCCACAGAGUCCGCUCUGCAGCCCUGAGAUGGAAGUCUGCAGAGAACUGAGGGAAGUUGUGUUAACUCACAGCACAGAUGAUGACAACGAAGGAUGAUCGGUGCGAAAGCCAGCCAUGCAGAAAAGAAGACCAGGAACUAUUAGAAAGAGACCUAAAGGUCAUCUGGCUUCAUCCCCACCCCCAGCAUGUAGAUGAGCAAACUGAAUUCAGGAACAUGCCCAGUAAACAAACACUGCUUUUAACACAGCUAAACAGAAGUAGAAUCCAGCUACAGGCUAAAGCAGCCAAAAAACCUCACGUCCAGUGUACAGGCAAAGACUGGCUGAAAGGAAGAGGGCUGAGAAAGACACGCUGUGCCACCACUAAUGCAAAAUGCAGUUGCCUUUAUUAACGUCAGACAAUUUGGGUUUCAGUGUAGGGGAAAUUACCACAGACAGUGAAGGACAUUAGGCAAUGACCCAAAGCACCAAUUUAUUAAGAAGACAUAGAAAAAUCCUUCGCUCAUAUACUCCUAGGCAUACAGCUUUGAAACACACAGAGUAAAAAGGGUAAGAAUGAAAGGGACAAUAGGAAGCCCGGCAGACAGAGCCAGAGACUCCCAUAGGUCUGACAGAGACAUUUAUAGAGCAAUUAGACAAAAGUCUGCAGAAGCCCUGAGCCCUAUUACUAAACUGGACCUCAUUAAUAUUUAUUAGGCAUUCCACCCAAUGAGGGAAGAAUGUAUCUUCCUUUCAAAUGCCCCUGGAAUGUGUACCAAGUCAGACUGAGACAUAAAAUAAGACUCAAUAAAUCUGAGAUUAAGUGUAUAAAUAAAUCUUUUUGAUCAUGACCAAAUUAAAUGAGAAACUUCCAAAAGAACUGUAUCUAGAAAAUCCUCAAGUAUCUGGAAGUUAAUAAAGUAGUCUAAAGUAAA